rnacentral:rRNA from 1 species
CCUACGGGGCGCUACAGUGAGGAAUAUUGGUCAAUGGACGAGAGUCUGAACCAGCCAAGUAGCGUGAAGGAUGACUGCCCUAUGGGUUGUAAACUUCUUUUAUAUGGGAAUAAAAUGUUCCACGUGUGGGAUUUUGUAUGUACCAUAUGAAUAAGGAUCGGCUAACUCCGUGCCAGCAGCCGCGGUAAUACGGAGGAUCCGAGCGUUAUCCGGAUUUAUUGGGUUUAAAGGGAGCGUAGGUGGAUUGUUAAGUCAGUUGUGAAAGUUUGCGGCUCAACCGUAAAAUUGCAGUUGAAACUGGCAGUCUUGAGUACAGUAGAGGUGGGCGGAAUUCGUGGUGUAGCGGUGAAAUGCUUAGAUAUCACGAAGAACUCCGAUUGCGAAGGCAGUUCACUGGACUGCAACUGACACUGAGGCUCGAAAGUGUGGGUAUCAAACAGGAUUAGAUACCCCAGUAGUC